UCCAUCAAACCGCGACAUAUAAUCCCGAGAAUUGGGGCUAAUCCCCGAUAGGCGUGGAGGCCUGGAAUGGUUCUACGCUUAAAAGCAUGACGACCAUGUUUGUCAUGUGCCCAAGGGUGGAGCUGCGGCCGAUCAGGCAGUUGGUAAGGUAACGGCUCACCAAACCUUUGACCGGUACGGGCCAUGAAAGUGGUAGCCCGGAGAUGUGCACUGAUACAAGGGCACAGGCCCUACGGGGCGCAGCAGGCGCGCAACCUCCACAAUGCACUAAAGUGCGAUGGGGUUACCUCGAGUGCAUCCUGAAGAAGGAUGCUUUUCCACUGUAUAAAUAGCCGUGGGAAUAAAGGGGGGGCAAGACUGGUGUCAGCCGCCGCGGUAACACCAGCCCCCUGAGUGGUGGGGACGUUUAUUUGGCCUAAAGCGUCCGUAGCUGGCUGUAUCCGUUACCCGUUAAAUCUAGCGUCUCAAGCGUUAGGCUGCGGGUAAUACCAUACAACUGGAGGGUGGGAUAGGUGAGCGGUAUUCCUGGGGUAGGGGCGAAAUCCUUUGAUCCCAGGAGGACCACCAGUGGCGAAGGCUGCUCACUAGAACGCGCCCGACGGUGAGGGAUGAAAGCUGGGGGAGCGAACCGGAUUAGAUACCCGGGUAGUCCCAGCUGUAAACGAUGCAGGCUAGGUGUUAGGGCGGCUACGUGCCGCUCUAGUGCCGCAGGGAAGCUGUUAAGCCUGCCGCCUGGGGAGUACGGCCGCAAGGCUGAAACUUAAAGGAAUUGGCGGGGGAGCAC
rnacentral:rRNA from 1 species